AUUAAAAUAAUACAAGCUUUAUAUUACAAGCCAGGGGCCUCGAGGGCUCGAAUACAUAAGCUCGAAAACACAAGAGUCAGCGGAAGCAACAAUAUCUGAGUACAGACAUAAGUUAGACAAGUUUGCCUUAAGAAGGCUGGCACAAAAGCAAUAUCGAUCGAAAAGGCAAGGCCUCCUGCCUGGGAGCCUCCUAACUACUCCUGGUCGUCGCGGUCUUCAUGAGGUAGUAGGCACCCUCGUGGUAGUAGUAGUAGUAGUCGUCGUCGAAGGUGACGUCUGGCUCCUGGACUCCACCAUCUGGUUGCAACAACCAGAAAGAAGAAAGAAGGGGGAAAAGGGGUAGCAAAGCAACCGUGAGUACUCAUCCAAAUUACUCGCAAGCAAGGAUCUACACUACAUAUGCAACAUUAUCAAAGAAAGGUUGUAUAUGUGGACUGGGCUGCAGAAAUGCUAGAAUAGAGAGAAGGCCUAGUCCUACUGAAGACUAGCAUCUUCUGGAAACCACCAUCCCGUAGCAACAGGAGGGAGUAGAGUAGCAUAAAGUAAAGUAGUAGUAGUGUUAUCAACCUCGGCCAGAGAUCCUUUCUCGACUCCCUACGAGAAAGAAAUCCCAGAGCCCUACUAUCCAUUUGUCAUCACAAUUCAAUUCUCGUCACCAUCCAAUUCUCAUCACAAGUAUCCAGUUCUAGUUGUAUCGAUCGGGAUACAACUCCGAGCGUCCGUUACCGUAGGACAGGCUAUCGAUAGAUGUUUUCUUCCCUGUAGGGGUGCACCAACUUACCUACCACGCUCGAUUAACUCCGGCCGGACACACUUUCCUGGGUCAUGCCCGGCCUCGGCCAAACAAUACGCCGCAACCCGACCUAGGCUUAAUAGAGAGGUCAGCACACCGGGUUAAACCUAUGCCCCCAGGGGUCAUGGGCCAUCUCCCCGGGAACUCCUGCAUGUUGCGUGGGCGGCCGGUGAGCAGACCUAGCUACCUCCUUAAAAAAGGUAGGAGCUUACCAGUCCAACCCGGCGCGCGCCGCUCAGUCGCUGACAUCUAAUAAGCUUCGGCUGAUGCAUACGACGCAGAACGCCCAUACUAUGCCCACGUGAUGGUUAGUGCUAUCAGGCCAGAGGCCCCUUGGAUCAAAUAUCCAAAUCGUAGUGGAUUAGGAACGUGCGGUAAUAAGCAGAGACUCACGAAAGAUGUGACCCCGUUGCCCCAUCUCGAGGACUUGCGGCAAGGGCUAAGAAUGCCCGGCCACGCCUCGUAUUCGACUCUCGGGUACCCUCCAGGUCAACCCGUCUCCACAUCACUCGCAAUUAUGCUUGCGCGGGUAGCCCUCAGGGUCGACCCGUCUUUAGUAACAUGGUUCAGUGUAAAGUCAUAGUGAUCAUAGUAACUUUGUGUCUAAACAUCAAGGGGAAAACCCGAGGAAUCACCCGGUGAAUUCCACUCGAUGUAAUCAUCAAGGUGAACAUUAGAGGAAUCACCCCCGAGGUUCACACUUGAGGGGUUGCACGACAGAGUCGUAACGGAAGUGGUUAAGGCGGAAUCACCCUCGAUGACCACGACCGAAUAGCUACACUACAGGGUUAAUAUCAGAAGUGCUGUAGAGGUCUCAUCCUCGACACUCGAUAGUAACCCAGUAGUGUCGAGCAACUAAGGGGAAGUGAUGUGCGGUGCCGGGGCCUGGUCUUCGACCCCGUUGAUCGGGUCUUCGAUGAUGAAGCAGGGGCAACAAGGACACGGUGGGGGUCACUGAUGGAUCACUAACCAACUUAUACUAAGCAGUUUAGGAUAAGCAUGUAAGGUACAACAGCAGAUACAAAAGCAGGCUAUGCAUCAGAAUAGGAGAAAACAAUUACAGUAGCAAAAUCUAAUGCAAGCAUGAGAUAAAGGAAAAGGGCGAUAUCGGGAUGAUCAAAGGGGGGGCUUGCCUGGUUUCUAUGGCAAGGAGGGGUCGUCGUCGACGUAGUCGAUCACAGGGGCAGCAUCGGUCUCAGGGUCUACCAGAGAGAAGAGGGGGAAGAAAUCGUAAAUAUAAAGCAAACAUAGCAUAACAGGACAACAAGCAGAGUUAGACGUGUUCUAACAUGGUGCUACACGAUAACGGCGAGGGGGGGAAGUCAACCGGGAAUGUUUUCCCGGUUCCGGACCUGUGUCAGACAGACGACCGGAGGGGGAAAGUUCCAUGUUCAGCAUGCUAGGGGCAUGUGACAGAUGAACUGACCGCGUAUUUGGAUUCGUUGGAUUUUUCUGAGCAACUUUCAUGUAGAAAACAUUUUCAUCUGAGUUACGGUUUAUUUUCUAUGAAUUAUCAAAUAUUAAACCAUUUUUUGAAUUUAUUUAUAUUAAAAAAAUAUGACAUAAGCAUGAUGUGUUGAUGAUGUCAGCAGUCAACUGGUUAGUUGACCAGGUCAAACCUGACCUGUUGGUCUAGGGGGACCCACAUGUCAGCGACUGCGGCACUAACAGUUGAUUAAAUUGACUAACAAAAGUAAUUAGGGGUGUGGGCCACACUAGUUAGUGACUGAUUAGUGAUUAAAACUAAUUAAUAGAUUAAUUAAUAUUUUAUUUAUUUACAAAACCUGUUAAUUAGUGCGGGGCCCACAUGUCAGUGGGCAGAGUGCCCAGUCAGCAGUUGACCCAGUCAACUGGGUCAACUAGGAUCCACGGGGCCCAGCGGCAGUGUCACAGCGGGCCCACUUGCCAGGUCACGUCGGCGACGACAUGAGACUCGACGCCGUCGACCAAAACUACGGCGGCGCGGCCUCGGAUGUGGCCGGAAAAAUGUGCUUCGGCCACAAGCGGAGACCAAACCGCGUCAAACCGUCAUGGUCUCGCGGCCAGGGAGGCUCUACGCCGACGACGGCGAGCACAUCGGUGGCGGAGCUCGCGGGUGCGCUACGGGGAGGCUGCUGCGGUGCGAAUUUGCGUGCGCGUUCGGGCUCAUUCAAACGCGGGAACAUCACCGCGUCGUUCUAACCCAACGGCGCUGGCUAUGGUGGUCGGAAGCGACGGUAGCGACGAGUUCGGGCGGCGGACAGGAAAAAAAGCGGCUGCGAGCUAGCUACGGUGAUGCACAAGGCACAAGGAGAGGAAAGGAGGGAGGGAGGAGCUCACCGAGUGGCUCACGGUGGCCUGUGGUCAGUUUAGUAGCAGCAGAGCUCUACGCAGACGGGGGCGCAUCGGUGGUCGACGGGGAGGCGACCUCGAAGCCGAAGAUGCGGGGCCUCUCCGGCUCCUGCUGUUGGGCGAUAGGACGAGGCCAAGGCCCGUGCAGCUACUGAACGCCCUGUCGUAGCCCAGGGUGGCGCCGGAGCGCGCGGACAACGGCAGGCGGCAUCAGGAGGGGCUUCGAUGAGGCGGGGGAUCUGAGGAGGGAAGGCCGAGAGGGAGAGGGAGGGGGACGGAGAGGCGGGAGUGGCGGUAGGUGAGGGGGAGGACUUGAGGCGUCCGGGGGCGUGGAGGCCUUAUCCUCUCGCGGGGGUCGUCAUCGGNNNNNNNNNNNNNNNNNNNNNNNNNNNNNNNNNNNNNNNNNNNNNNNNNNNNNNNNNNNNNNNNNNNNNNNNNNNNNNNNNNNNNNNNNNNNNNNNNNNNNNNNNNNNNNNNNNNNNNNNNNNNNNNNNNNNNNNNNNNNNNNNNNNNNNNNNNNNNNNNNNNNNNNNNNNNNNNNNNNNNNNNNNNNNNNNNNNNNNNNNNNNNNNNNNNNNNNNNNNNNNNNNNNNNNNNNNNNNNNNNNNNNNNNNNNNNNNNNNNNNNNNNNNNNNNNNNNNNNNNNNNNNNNNNNNNNNNNNNNNNNNNNNNNNNNNNNNNNNNNNNNNNNNNNNNNNNNNNNNNNNNNNNNNNNNNNNNNNNNNNNNNNNNNNNNNNNNGCUGGGCCUGGCCGGCUGGGCCUGUCUCUGUGGCCUUAGGCCCAGGGGCAAGGGGGGUCCCUUUUCCUUCUUCUUCUUUUUUGCAUUUCUAUUUCUUUUCUCUUUUUACAGAAUGCUUUGCAAAUUUUUGGAGCUGCCAAAAGGAUUCUAUAAAAUGUGGGACUUGGCCACAUAAUUACAAUGCAAUGUUUGACACAGCCACAAAAAGUUUGGAAGAAAUUUGAAUUAGAUGGAAUUUGCAAAAAGAUGGAAAAGCAAUUAAUUUGCUGAGUGGCACUGUUUUAAUUUGCUAUAGUCCAUCUUAGCUUGGAGGUGAUGUUGUUUUCCUUAACAGUCAUUUGUUAUGGAAUAUUUACUAAAUGAUGGACUAUUUUGCAACAACUUUUGUGCAACUUCAAAAAUCACUUGCAAAUUGAAUUUGAUUCCAAAGUGGAAUUUCAAAUGAGAUUUGAAUCAAAGGUGAUUAAGCACUGUUUGGAAAAAUGAUUAGCUUAAUCACAGUGGGUUACUGUAGCAUGACACUGGGGGUGUUACAAAUCUCCUCCACUACAAGAAAUCUCGUCCCGAGAUUUAAGAGGUGGAGUAAGGGGUAAGACUCGGAAAGGAAGGAGCUCAACACAAGAUAGGUAUGUGGGGAUUAUGUGAGUGAACGUGGCAUAGAGGCAUCUCUCGAGUUAAAAUUCAAGAAAGUCAUCGAGAGCAAGGUGAGGUGCAAUAAGAAGCUUCAACUUGGUAGAGAAUCGUUUGUUGCCUGAAACAAGGGGGGUGAAAGGGGUUUAGAGCAAUGGUAAUAAGUAUCGUGUCUGAUACCAGAAUAGAUCGCCUCUGAGAAGGUCGGGAUUUUUCAUAUGAAGCCAAGUGUGAGAAAUAACCUUAGAAACAAGCGUGUACAGGAGAGCCAGGUUUCGAUCUUGUGGAACUGUGUGUUAUGGGCCCACCAUAUGGUUUAAAAGUAGAAAGAGCGGUGACAUGUUACACGGUUAUGAUAGCAAGCUUUGUCGGAGGAUAGUCUGUCAGUUAUGUUGGCAACCACGUUGAUACCAAGGGCGAGGGACGAAGAGAACCAUAUUCCUGCUCGUUGAACGAGGCGGACCAAUCGGCAAGGUUCACGUCCAUCGGUGGUUACCGAAUGUCAUCAACAAUAGUAACAGGGUCUCACUGACAAGGUUGUACAUCGGGGCGUUUUAUAAGCAGGGAAUUAUUUCUGCUUAUAUCAUAUAGAUCACAAGAAGGUUAAACAAGCCAAUGGAAAGGAAAAUGUGGUUAUUAGAUUAAUCAGAACAUUGGAAAGGAAAUGUGUUUACACACAAGAAUUGAGAGUAUAUCCUUCCCAAGGGGAAGCGGAGCAGGAUAUACAUGAUAUGACAGCAAGUUCAAAAGCACUUAGAUAAAGAGGGCGAGGGGAUAAUCAUGAUAUUACCCAUACAACGGUUUUUGGAUUAAUAGAUCAAGAACAGUUAGCAUUGUGCUCCCAAUGUUCUUAUUGAUGAUCAGAGUAUCACACACAUGCUUCGGGAUAGUGUUGGCAUGGUCAUCAGGGAAAGGUCAGACUUCGGAUACACAAAGAAUCCAUCGGAACAACUUAUAAAAUAAGUCAUACAAUUCCCGCAAGAAAAAGAUGAUUUUGUGACCGGCGGGCUCAGGAACAAUUCAUCGAGGGGGCAAGGAUGGUAUUUCUCAUCAUGAAUUAGAUUGAUAUCCUAGAACAGCUCGGAAUGUUGGUGAUGAUCACGACACAUUUGUCGAGAGAUUUCAUGAAGAUGCAAUCGAUCGGCGGUGACAUCAAGUCAAAGGAAUGAUGACGCGAAAGGUUAUUGAAACCAUGAGUACGACACAAAGUCGAAAUCAAACUUUCUGUUCAAGGUGAAAUGAUAUGACGUGAAAGAUCGAUGUAAGCUUAUCUUAACAUCAAAAAUUAUGCUCCGGGAAGAAGGACCAGGUAGCAUAGUUAAAAUUUAGCACAAUAAUGACAUAGUCGGCCAGGCUAGGAAUGACUAGAAGGAUUAUUAAACUCGUAAGCAAUGAAAAUUACUUAGAGUUAUAGAAUCGGAGUGCGGAAUCGAUUCAACUGAUUCACUUAUCGGUGUCCUCGAGUGAUUAAUAACUCAGGUCCCGGGGGAAAUCUGAAAUCGGUGAGAAGCAAUACUAGAUGAAGACUCAUAGGAAGCAACACAGUUCUUUGAUAUUCUCGAGAUACCGGAGGGUAAUACUUGAAGGAAGAUCAAAAUAGAGGUUGUGGAUUCGCAUUGAUCUGCAGAAGACAAGUGCGUGAACUUGUCCAAGAAAUGGAAUCGAAGGGGAACAAUCAUGGUCAGAACCACGGUUGCAAAGGACCAAUCCUAGAUACCAGAUGAACUUAUAACAAGGGGAUUAUUAUUAUCACAAGAAGCUUCCAUGAUAAGUGCCACAUCGGGUCCAUGGGCAUGAACACAAAGUUCAAGGUCGACUCCCACUUCUUCAAUGCAUAACCUUUCAUUCACUCCUCAUUUUUCGAAGAAAUUGUAGUGCAGAGGAUUUAUCUGCCGAAGUACCAGAAGAGUAAGACUCGGGAGAACUCUCGGGUUCACACGGAUUAUGGAAGCAUAAGUUCAACCCAUCGGGGCAUUUUUACGAAUCUAUACAACCAUCAACCAAGCAAAAGAUACGAGUUCAAAAGUAAGUAUCGGAGUCAAAGCAGAUGAUACAAUUUACCGAAGGUAUUAUGUAUCAGGGAAAAACUCACAAGACUUUGGAUGUGAAGGACAUUGUCGGAUAACAACCCAGCAAUGGAUCUAGCGAUUCACGACAGAGUUGAUGUGAGUAUCGAUAAUCAAUCAGAUGAAGAAGGGGAUGUAAAUGCAUCAGCUUAUAGAAACAUCUGAAUGAUUCAAUGCUUGGGUACAAAGGAAUUAUGAUUUCAAGACAAAGGAUCAGAAGCAGAGGCUCUGAUCAAAAGAUGAGUAAGUUGAAUAGACUUAGAGGUGUACCCGAUCAAAUCUGGAUUGGGCAAGAACCAGCUCAUAUCUCGAAGGAUGUCUGAGCCGGAAAGAAAAUUUCCAAGGAUUGAUUGAUGAUUGCGAGUAUUAGCACACAAGCUGAAUCCAUAGGCACAUAAUGACAAUCACAAAGAAUUUUAAAGAAUAUUGCUAGACAUAUGGAAUUAAUCCUAAUGCAAGCCGGCAAGGAGAAUCAAGAGCAAUAGGUUGCAAAGGAUUUUGAAAGAUCAGAUAGCCUUUUCAGGUAUUAGGAAAGCAAAUGAACAACUGGGGAUGAACGAACCCCGAUUAAGCAAAUUAUCCGCAGUUCGAAAAGAAGCUGCAAAGAACAAGGCCACAAAGGAUUCUCGGAACAACGGAGAGUACUAGUGGUAUCUCGUAAUAACAGGAGCAACUAGGGAUGAAGGUACAAGCGACAAGGAUGUUAUUCAGGGGGGUUAUCAGUGGUCAAGAACUACAAGGCAGUUGGCACAGGGUCUCGAGAAACAUCGAGGAGUAUCCGCAGAAUCUUCUGGCGAAGCAAGCAAUCAUCGAUAAUGUUGGGGCUCUCCGGGAGGAAGUGGGUACGAGAACCUAAUGUCAGAGUUAGUAAAAUGUUUAACCCGAAUAGACGAGAGAUCAGAGUCCCAGAGUAUAGACGAGGAAUAAAAGAUCCUAAUACCACCCAAUGGCAACGUGGGCCCGUAAGCCACACAGCCAUGUUAGUAAAAGUUUUUGUAGUGACUAGACUCGACUUUGGCCAAGGAGUUGGAAAGGGAGCUACCUAUAGGCAGUCGGCUCUGAUACCAACUUGUGACGCCCCCGAUUCAAUCGUACACUAAUCAUACACGCAAAUGUGUAUGAUCAAGAUCAGGGACUCACGGUAAGGUAUCACAACACAACUCUAGACACAAAUUAAAUAAUACAAGCUUUAUAUUACAAGCCAGGGGCCUCGAGGCUCGAAUACAUAAGGUCGAAAACACAAGAGUCAGCGGAAGCAACAAUAUCUGAGUACAGACAUAAGUUAGACAAGUUUGCCUUAAGAAGGCUAGCGCAAAAGCAACAUCGAUCGAAAAGGCAAGGCCUCCUACCUGGGAGCCUCCUAACUACUCCUGGUCGUCGCGGUCUUCAUGAGGUAGUAGGCACCCUCGUGGUAGUAGUAGU
rnacentral:lncRNA from 1 species